GGAUAUCCUUCCGAAAGGAGGGGCAAUACCGAAUAUUGUCCGGAGCCGUGAAGGGUUCCGGGGAAAGGGAGGCCUCUGAUACAAGCUUUCGCCUUAAGAUGAGCCCAUGGCCCAUCAGCUAGUUGGUAGGGUAAAGGCCUACCAAGGCUACGACGGGUCGCUGGUCUGAGAGGACGACCAGCCACACUGGCACUGAGAUACGGGCCAGACUCCUACGGGAGGCAGCAGUGAGGAAUAUUGCGCAAUGGGGGAAACCCUGACGCAGCAACGCCGCGUGUGGGAAGAAGGCCUUCGGGUCGUAAACCACUUUUGCACGGGACGAAAAAGGGAUAUCGAACAAAUAUCCCCGAUGACGGUACCGUGAGAAUAAGCCACGGCUAACUCUGUGCCAGCAGCCGCGGUAAGACAGAGGUGGCAAGCGUUGUUCGGAAUUACUGGGCGUAAAGAGUCUGUAGGUGGUUUGUCAAGUC
rnacentral:rRNA from 1 species